rnacentral:tRNA from 1 species
GCCUGGGUGGCUCAGUAGGUUAAAGCCUCUGACUCCGGCUCAGGUCAUGAUCCCAGGGUCCUGGGAUCGAGUCCCACAUCAGGCU